GCUGGCGGCAGGCCUAACACAUGCAAGUCGAACGGAGUUAUAUUGUAGCUUGCUAUGGUAUAACUUAGUGGCAGACGGGUGAGUAAUGUAUAGGAAUCUACCUAGUAGUACGGAAUAAUUGUUGGAAACGGCAACUAAUACCGUAUACGCCCUACGGGGGAAAAAUUUAUUGCUAUUAGAUGAGCCUAUAUUAGAUUAGCUAGUUGGUGGAGUAAUAGCCUACCAAGGCAAUGAUCUAUAGCUGAUCUGAGAGGAUGAUCAGCCACACUGGAACUGAGAUACGGUCCAGACUCCUACGGGAGGCAGCAGUGGGGAAUAUUGGACAAUGGGCGAAAGCCUGAUCCAGCCAUGCCGCAUGAGUGAAGAAGGCCUUUGGGUUGUAAAGCUCUUUUAGUGAGGAAGAUAAUGACGGUACUCACAGAAGAAGUCCUGGCUAACUCCGUGCCAGCAGCCGCGGUAAUACGGAGAGGGCUAGCGUUAUUCGGAAUUAUUGGGCGUAAAGGGCGCGUAGGCGGAUUAGUAAGUUAAAAGUGAAAUCCCAAGGCUCAACCUUGGAAUUGCUUUUAAAACUGCUAAUCUAGAGAUUGAAAGAGGAUAGAGGAAUUCCUAGUGUAGAGGUGAAAUUCGUAAAUAUUAGGAGGAACACCAGUGGCGAAGGCGUCUAUCUGGUUCAAAUCUGACGCUGAGGCGCGAAGGCGUGGGGAGCAAACAGGAUUAGAUACCCUGGUAGUCCACGCUGUAAACGAUGAAUGUUAAAUAUGGGAAGUUUUACUUUCUGUAUUACAGCUAACGCGUUAAACAUUCCGCCUGGGGACUACGGUCGCAAGAUUAAAACUCAAAGGAAUUGACGGGGACCCGCACAAGCGGUGGAGCAUGUGGUUUAAUUCGAUGCAACCCGAAAAACCUUAC
rnacentral:rRNA from 1 species